CCUACGGGUGGCAGCAGUGGGGAAUAUUGGGCAAUGGGCGCAAGCCUGACCCGGCCACGCCGCGUGAAGGAAGAAGGCUUUCGGGUUGUAAACUUCUUUUCUGAGGGACGAAGAAAGUGACGGUACCUCAGGAAUAAGCCACGGCUAACUCCGUGCCAGCAGCCGCGGUAAUACGUAGGUGGCAAGCGUUAUCCGGAUUUAUUGGGUGUAAAGGACGUGUAGGGGGGAAAGCAAGUCAGAUGUGAAAACUCAGGGCUCAACCCUGAGCCUGCAUUUGAAACUGUUUUUCUUGAGUGCUGGAGAGGCAAUCGGAAUUCCGUGUGUAGCGGUGAAAUGCGUAGAUAUACGGAGGAACACCAGUGGCGAAGGCGGAUUGUUGGACAGUAACUGACGCUGAGGCGCGAAAGCGUGGGGAGCAAACAGGAUUAGAUACCCGGGUAGUC
rnacentral:rRNA from 1 species